CUUAAAUGCCAGAUAUGUUGGUUUCUUAGUGGAUUCCAAGGAACAUGAUUUCCUAACCUCUCUACCCCAUGGAAACAUUUAUGUAAUGCUGAAGACUAAACAGAUUGGGUACAUUCCUUUCUUCUGUAAAAAACAGUUUGUUGUUUUCUCAACAACUGACCUCUCAUCCUUCCUUUUAAGAGACACCUUAAAAAACACAGGACUACCAGAUGUCUAGAGUUCUCCAAAAAAAAUGUAAUUUCUGAUGAUAUAAGGCAUGGACAUAAGGUUUGCUGCGAUUCUAGACCAGUAGGAAUCAGAAAGUAAAAGAUGCCUCUGAAGAAGCCUUUGGGAGCUCAAUAUAGGAAGUGAAAAGCUCAAUUGCAAUAUAGUUUGAAGCAAGGAGCAAAUUUGAUGGGAAAAUAUCUGAAACAGAACAACAACAUAGACCGGGCUUUAGGCAGUAGCAAUCAUCCCAGUGUAGAAGAAAUUGAGGAGUGAAGUAUAAAUGAUGGAAGUUCUGUUACAAAAGAAUUUGCAGAUUUACCUGAAGAAAAUGAAUGGAAAUGUGAGGAAGUGAUGGAGAAUCAUCCAGUUUUCCUGGUGGCAUAAAGAAGAGUAAUGAUUAAGAAUGUGGGGCUCACAUGAAAAAGAGAGUAAUGGUAAAGAAAAAUCUGGUUUACAUGAAAAGGAGAGAAACAAUAAAGAAGAAUCCGCUUCACAUGAUAACAGAAAUGGCAGUUUUUGAAUGGACUGGGCAAAAUUGAGGAUAUGACAUUUUCCAGUAAAUGAGCAGAGGCGACACUUCUCAAAGUCACAUUGCGAAAAAGUGCUCGAGAAUGUGUGAGGACCUACGUUGAGUAGUUCGUAAAGAAGCUAUGGAUCAUUACU